GUAAAAUGGAAAAGAAGACAAGGAAGAGAAGAAGAGUAGGGCCUUUGCAGGACAUACCAUAAGCCCUGUUCAGAGAUGGAAAACUGGAUGUUUGGAACUUAACAAGAACCCCAUGCCUAAAGAACAGAGUCAAAACCUCCAGCCAGGCUGUUGAAGCACUGCAGGACAUUUUCUCUCUGAGUGUGUAUAAUGGAAAAGGACGGUUUGCUUCAAAGGAAGACUUCCUCUGAGCAUGAUGGAGAGGACCAUGCUUGGUUCUGGAGAGCAACUUGAUCUUUUCAAAUGGAAGACAGAAGCUUAGAGCAAAAAAAAAAAAAAAAAAGGGAGAUGGGGGUGGGGAGAGACACAAAUGGUGUUGAUCCAUUAAAGGGACAGUGGGGCUACCGAGGGUCUGAGCCCUCCAUGGGUCAAGAUGCAUCACUGGAGUGCCCUGACUACACAGGACUAGACUCUAGGCUGUGGGACCCUUGAAGCAGGAAGAAUGCAGGACACUGGGUAGCCAGCUGGAAGGAUCAGGACUCAUUUUUUUCCACGUAGCUUUUAUUUUAAUAGUCUACAAUGGUGGCCUUAGGGGAGGCCAACAUAAUCACGAUGAAUGUGGAGCUAAACUCCAACCCCCUCUAAAUUCAUAGCCAGCAAUACAUAAUCAAGAUCAAAAACAAGCAAUUUGACUUUUUCUUUCUCAAGCAGGAGGGGCAAAAUGAGGUAAUACCUAGGCUCCUCCCUGCCUAUCCCUUCAGUGGGAUGUCCUAAGUGGCUGUGAAUACCCAUCCCAGUGCUGUCUCUGCUGAUGGAAUUAGGAGGAGGCUCUCCCCUACUCUUAUCAGGUAUGUGUGACCCCGCCCCCACCAGCCCACAGUUAGAAUCAAUCAUGUGUCAUUUUUCUGGCCAGAGCAGGCCUCUUGGAUGUUAGGUGUUAAAGCACCUGUGGCUGGUCCUCUGCCCAUCGUUAUUCCAUCAGCCACAUCAUGGCCACCUUCACAGCCUCCCUUGCUCAUCCCUAAUGCACGUGAUAUCUCACUCCUCUUCAGAGCCUACACCUCCACUUUACUUAUGCUGGAGAUUAGCCAUGUGGGAUAAUGUUAACUUACUAAAUUCAAUUCAGUGGAUGAAACAAACCACCCCCACCCCCUGCAUGACACAGAGGAGAAACUUAUUGUUCCGUCUGAAGAGCACCACCCCACUGCAGCUUAGCCAGGCCAGAUUGGCCUCUUGGUCCUUGUCCAUGCGACAAUGGAAAACAAAGCAAACAAAAGAAGAAUGUUAUAAACAUCCACUGUUUGUUCUAUGUCAAAGCUGCAUCUUUAACAAAGCUCGAUGAACCUGCUGUAACACAGCAGGUAGAUUCUAAUAGGUGAGCAAUGGGCCUGACCCUCCCAUCUAAGUCCCCGCAAUGCUUGCCCCACACAGAUCUAAGACAACCCAAACCACUGAAGUGCUUUGGCCAUUGAAAUGUGGCAUCCAAAACAGUGGUGAAAGCCAUACUUCUACAGCUGGGUGGACUGGAGCAAACAUCCGUUAUUAUUUUUUUAGAAGUGUUCUAGAAUAAGUAUAUUGCACAAUUAAACACCCUUUAAUAUAUUAAAAAUAAAUCCCAUAACAUCA